UGAUUUCACAGUAGUUUACACAAGUUUCACUCUUUAGCCUUUUAGAUGCACGUUAAAUCCCAAAUUCUGAAGAAAAAAAACGUUAUCUGCUCAUAAAUAAUUAAAAGCAAACAAUUAGAAAUUAAGGGUGUUUGUACAUAUGUGGGCCGAUCAACUAAAUCCCAGCCCACUUCAUAAAUUUUGGAGUCACCAUGGAGAGGCCCAGGCCUAAUUUCUUCUUCUCUUCCUUUCCUAUGGCAGCCCAAUAUACAUUCCAACUCCCAACUCCACGAGUCUUUCACAAAAGCGGCGAAAUCCAACUACCGCCUGAAAAAUCUCCAACAAAAACGAAUGUAUAUUUUUUUUCAUUGCCAGUGUCCAAGUUAUUCCACAAUUCCACCACAGUUAAUCAAUUCUAAAGAAAUCGAGAGUUAGAGAAGAGAGUGAGCAAAGAGUUUUUUUUGUUUCUUCUUUUCAAAGACAAUUUUCCAACCUCAGCAAUCGUCGGCGAUCAGCAGGGACAACGACGAUGGCGGGUGGCUGAGGCAGGCCGACAGAGAAGAGAGCUAGCUAAGGCACGGUAUAUAUUUUGGGGGAGAAUUUGAGAGAUACUCGACUUGGCAGUUUCUGCGUUGGAGAAUUUGAGAGAUACUCGAUUUGGCAGUUUCUGCGUUGGAGAGAGCGCGGGGGGGGGGGGAAUUAGAUGAGAGGAGGAGGAACAUGCAACCGGCGACGGUGGAGUUGGCCAGGAAGGGAUGUGUGAAUUGUGAGGGUGUCCACUAUAAGGCGGACACGCCCAAUAGCCCCGCCCCAGUUUUUGUCUAUAGCCCCAAUUUUGUUGUUCAUAGCCCCAAAAUUCUAUUUCCGCCACUAUAGUGGACAACUCCAAUAGCCCCCAAAUUUUAUAAUCAAUUUUCAUUUUUAAAUAUUUUUUAGUUUCAAUCAAGUGUAAUUUAAAUAAUCGCAGUAUAAAUAAUUAGAAUGCAAGGUAAUUAGGCCCGAAUAUUCGUUGUAUUGCAAACCGGUAAAUUAUACAACGAAUAAUUAAAAUAAAA